AGUGCAGUGUGCAAAACUUUAGUUUUGAAAAAAAUGAAAGGAAUGAUGCAGUACAGUGUUGUAAGAUGGUGCAGUCCUUGAAAAACAAUUUUAUUAAAAUAUAUAUUGCAGUUGUGAAAUAAAAUAUCAUUAAAAUAUGUGUUGCAGUCCAUACAAAGAGUUUGAAAGAAGUCCUUCAAAAGUCUAAUGAAGAUGUGAGUGUGAGAUUGAAGGUAGUGGAGAGAAGGAGGAGACACGAUGAUUCAUACCAUUAUUCUCAUAAUGAUGAAGAUGAACAUGCUUUUAGACCAAGGAAGGGCCAAAGACGGAAGGAAUUUGAGAACCAUGCACUUCGGAAGGAUAAUGAUGUAGAGGAACAUGGUUUUAGACCAAGAUGAGGUCAAAGACGAGAAGAAUUUGGAAACCACACACCUAGAAGAGAUAAGAUGUGGAAGAAGAUUGUUAUCGCUAAAUUUAAUGGAGCUAAUGACCCAGAAGCCUACCUAGCAUGGGAAAUGAAGCUUAACCAAAUCUUCAGCUCUUAUGAUUAUGAGGAUGAUGAUAAGGUUCUUAUGGGCAUCCUUAGAGUUUGAAGCUAUGCUAUGAAUUAGUUGAAUCAAAUUACCGUGGACAUAACUAGAAGUAGAAGGUUGCCUAUUUCU
rnacentral:lncRNA from 1 species